UAGUCGACGGGUUGAGCAAGCAUCAGAUGAGACGGCACUUCCAGGUUACAUCCCAAUAGUCCAGAAAUUCAUAACCUGACUGAACUGAUGUUAUACUCCGAUUUAGGGUUUACUUGCAGCUGAAGAAGCCCCAUCUCUUUACACAAAAGCUUUCAGUCAUUCCUUCUCCAAAACCCUGCGUUUCGGUUGAUCUCCGAGUUCAAGGUUCAUGUAGGAGAUUGUAGAGAUGAUUCAUGUACAAGGAGCUUAAGGGAGCCAUUGAUCUUCUUAUGACAGUCUACAAAAAGGAAUCUAUUUCAGUUGUUGUUCCAAACUUCUAAGUGGUGGUCCUCGUGUUCGUCUAAUGGGUUCUUUCUCAGAUAUUCUUGAUUCAUGGAGUAAAUCCACCAAGGCACCAAGCCUAGAGACCCUGUUCUUGUUGCAAGUGUAGGAUUGCCAGAAUUAAGUUAUAGUGGAUACCGGCGACAUGCCUAUAUUUGGGAUGAUUAUCCUUCACUUCAAGAUAUCUUGGAUGUGAGAUAAAGAUAGCAACAACUAUGUGGGUUGGCAUUCUGAUGAUGAAAGCUUUAUGGUUCAACCUGGGAAAUUGCAUCUAUUUCUUUUUGGUUGUGAACGUGAGUUCUUCUUGAAGAGAAAACCUAGUAAACCAUCCCAAGCAUGGAUCAAUGUUGGUGAUGAGAGGCUGCACUUGGAGAGACUGGGUCCACUUAGUCCCCAAGUGUGCUAAAGGAGAUGCAACCCGCAUUAACCUCACCUUCAGGCAUGUUAUCUGAUGGGCUGUUGGAUAAGGGGGAUAGAAGAGGAAGAGGAAAAGGAAAAGGAAAACAUAAUUUGCUUGAUAUGGAUGCGAGAGAAGGUUUUUAGAUAGGGAUCAAACUACCUAAAAUCCCAAAAAGAGGGAGGGAAAAAAAUCAAAGAAAAAGUACAUUAAAACCACAUGCUGGUAUAUGUUACACUGUAUAAAUGUUUUAGACGUUAUUAAAAACUCUGUAAUUUUCUUCUUUAUGGCUAGUGUUGCUACGCCUGCUUCCUUUCAACAGCCUUGUUAGAUGACAGAAAUCCAUUACUAUAUUCAACACCUCUUCUAUUUA